ensembl:lncRNA
GUCAGAAGCUCUUUCAGGAACAAUAAAAACCCAACUCAGAUUAGGUUAAUGGAGUGAAAAGGGGUUUACUAGUUCCUACACUUGCACUGGAGAGCACACAGCAUUCAAAGAAAAGCUGAAGAAACCAGGGUCUCAGAAACUGUCCACAAAGGAAGGAAGAGUGUGGCCCAAGUGGUAAUUGGAGGCUUUGAAGAACUCGAUCAAAGUGAAUUCUUUCACCUAGGACUACAAGAAAAGCCAGCGUAUGAGCAAUUACAGAGGCCAUCCAAGUACAUCUGCUUUCCCUCUCCUCUCCUCCUGGUCAUGGCAUCACAUCCCACCCUACAUGAG